AUUGAACGCUGGCGGCAGGCCUAACACAUGCAAGUCGAACGGUAACAGGUCUUCGGAUGCUGACGAGUGGCGAACGGGUGAGUAAUACAUCGGAACGUGCCCGAGAGUGGGGGAUAACGAGGCGAAAGCUUUGCUAAUACCGCAUACGAUCUCAGGAUGAAAGCAGGGGACCGCAAGGCCUUGCGCUCACGGAGCGGCCGAUGGCAGAUUAGGUAGUUGGUGGGAUAAAAGCUUACCAAGCCGACGAUCUGUAGCUGGUCUGAGAGGACGACCAGCCACACUGGGACUGAGACACGGCCCAGACUCCUACGGGAGGCGGCAGUGGGGAAUUUUGGACAAUGGGCGCAAGCCUGAUCCAGCCAUGCCGCGUGCAGGAUGAAGGCCUUCGGGUUGUAAACUGCUUUUGUACGGAACGAAAAGACUCCUUCUAAUAAAGGGGGUCCAUGACGGUACCGUAAGAAUAAGCACCGGCUAACUACGUGCCAGCCGCCGCGGUAACAC
rnacentral:rRNA from 1 species